ACAGCCUCCCUCUCCUCUCGCAGCGGGAGCGUGACGCGGCGUGGGGACGGGGACGAGGGGAUGCGCCUGCGCAGGACGUAGUCCUUCGGGUGAGGGCGGGAGCGUUGAGCUCCGCGCCAGCGGGCUGGAAGUCGUUCCCGAAAAUGGGAGGUCUGUGGCUUUCGGGCACUCCGGAGAGGAACUUUCCUGGAGGCGCAGUGGUUAAGAAUCCGCCUGCCAAUGCAGGGGACAUGGGUUUGAGCCCUGGUCCAGGAAGAUCCCACAUGCCGCGGAGCUACUAAGCCCGUGCGCCACAACUACUGAGCCUGCACUCUAGAGCCUGUGAGCCACAACUACUGAGCCCGCGAGCCACAGCUACUGAAGCCCACACACCUAGAGCCCAUGCUCCGCAACAAGAGAAGCCACCACAAUGAGAAGCCCGCGCACUGCAACAAAGAGUAGCCCCCGCUCAGUGCAACUAGAGAAAGCCAGCGUGCAGCAACAAAGACCCAACACCACCAAAAAUAAAUAGAUAAAUAAAAUUGAAAAUAAUAAUAAUAAAACUUCUUUAUACAAUGGAAUACUACUCAGCCUUAAAAAAGAAUGAAAUAAUGCCAUUUGCAGCAACAUGGAUGGACCGAGAGAUUAUCAUACUAAGUGAAGGAAGUCAGAAAGAAAGCCAAAUACCAUAUGAUAUCACUUAUAUGUGGAAUCUAAAAUAUUACAUAAAUGAACUUAUCCAUAAAGUAGAAACAGACUCACAGACAGAGAACAGAUUUGUGGUUGCCGAGGGGGAGGGUGUAUGGGGGAGGGAUGGAAUUAGCAGAUGCAAACUAUUAUAUAUAGAAUGGAUGAACAAGGUCUGUAUAGCACAGGGAACUAUAUUCAAUAUCCUGUAAUAAAACAAUGGAAAAGAAUUUUUUUUAAAAAACUUCUUAAAGGCACACAUUCCUAUAAGACUGUCCUAAGAAUUAUCAAUUUCCUGGACUUCUCUAACUUCAAUUUAGGAAAUAUUAACUCUCCUAAACUCCAAAUCCUAGCCUUGCCUUAUUGUCUUGUUUUGCUGAGUGCUACUUAUUUAAUAUUCUUUACAACAAUACUCUUACUAUGCGGUAUAAUGAUGUACUACUGUAGUAUCAAUUUGAAUGAAAUGAAAAAAAAAAAAAAACAACUGAUUGCUUGCUCUAUGCCUCCAUUCUCCUCCCGAGUUCUUUGAUCAAGUUUACAAUCAUUACUCUGAACUGAAAGAACGUGGACUUUUACCCACGGGAUAAUGUCUGUAUUGUUGCCAAUAAAAAAUGAUUUGGGUUCCAGA